GCGGGCGGCCGGCCGCGUCCUCACAGCCCGGGGCCACCGUGUCUUGUCCCCUGUGUGGGGAAGGCGUGAAGCUGGUGGCUGAGCUCCCUGUGGGUGGGCAAGGUGGUGUGAGCUCUGCUAGCCCUCCUCCAGCGCUCCCGUCCCCUUCCAGGGGGGUGGUUGAGGUGUCAGGAAAAGGUAUGGUAGCCACCCUGGCUCCCUGCAGCACUGGGUGCCGAGUCCCAGGCGGGUGUGCACCAAACAGCUUGUAGCUGUUGCUGUCCUUAAUUGGACUUCCCUAGCGUCGCCUCUCCUGGAAAUUUCCAUCAUCAGCUCUUAGCUGGAAGAAUUGACCUGUGACGGUGGAAAAUCAAAGGUGGUACAUUUCAACUUAAAAGCUGCUUGACUGAGGCAGGUUAUUCUACCCCUAUGCUCUGGUGAGACCCCACCUGGAGUACUGUAUGCAGCUUUGGAGCCCUCAGUACAAGAAGAACACGGACCUGUGUGGAGCGGGUCCAGAGGAGGGCCAUGAAGAUGAUCAGAGGGCUGGAGCACCUCUCCUAUGAAGAUGGGGUGAGAGAGUUGUGAUUGUUCAGCCUGGAGAAGAGAAGGCUUCGGGGAGACCUUACAGGGGCCUACAGGAAAGAUAUGGAGGGACUUGUAGUGAGAGGGUGAGAGGUAAUGGCUUCAAACUGGAAAAGGGUGAAGAAAUUCUUUACUGUGAGGAUGGUGAGACAUUGGAACAGGUUGCCCAGAGAAGCUGUGGAUGUCCCAUCCUUGGAUGUGUUCAAGGCCAGGCUGGAUGGGGCUUUGAGCAGCCUGGUCUAGUGGGAGGUGUCCCUGCCCAUGGCAGGGGGUUUGGAACUAGAUGAUCUUUAUGGUUCCUUCCAGCCUAAACCAUUCUAUCAUUAUAUUUUUUUUAAUGUUAUCUCCAUAUGGAAUUAGAUGAACAAAAAUAAUUGCCAUUUUUUUAGUGCACUUGAAGUAUCAGAGCUGCCCUGUGAAGCCUGACCUCAGUGUAGCUGGUGACCAGGCACCUGUAUCCUUGAACACUUGUUCUGCCGGUUCUCUUGUCAUUUGUUUUGUUGGGGCUCUGCCAGUAAAUCUGACUCUUGCUUUCGGUCAAAAUAGAACAGGAAGCCUGCCAAAAAAAGUUUUUGGAGCCAGUGGACAGUCAAAAAUAAAUGGGUUGUUCAGAGGAGAUAAGGUUCUAGAAGAAAAUUAAAUCAGUAUUUUGUUCUGUGCUCACUGUAGAGGAACUUGGGAAGAUUCCUGUGCUUAUACUCAAUUUUGUGAAAGACUUAUCAGAGGGUAUGUCUCAAGCUGAAGUGUCUGUAGAAAAGGUUAUGAAACAAAUAGCUAAAAUAAAAAGCGCUGAACAGUUGGACUGAAUGAUGUUCAUCCAAGAGUUCUAAGAGAAGUCAAGAUUAAAAUAGCUGAGGUGCUUACUAAUGGUUUGUGUAACAUCUCAUUUAGAAGCACUUUGAUAACAGAGAACGGGAAGCUGGUUAAUAUGCCAAUUAAAAAAAAAGUGUCUAGAAGAUUUCUGGAGAGCUGCUGAGCAAUGAGCCUGUUAUCUGUACCAGAUAACUUAAUGAAAGCAGUUUGAAAAGGCGAACUAGUGGGCACAGGGAGAAAAUGGUGUACCAGAAGGGCUGGCAGGGCUUUUCUAAAGAGAAGUCCUGGCCUCACAUGUUGUUUGGAGCCCUGUGAGGAACCAACAAAGCAUGUGGACAGGAGAGAUGCAGCUGAUGUCAUCUACUUGGGUUUCUAAAAAGCAUUCAACAAAAUCUGCCAGCAAAAGCUUCUGAAGAAACUGUGGAGUAAGAGGAGUAGUUUUCACUUGGGUAGAUGAUGUUGGGUUAAAAACAGGUUGCUGUAAGAGAGCAAAAAUAUCUUCUCAGUGAAAGGAGUCACUACGUGAAGUUCCACAAGGAUCUGAAUUGGAGCCUGCGGUCUGAGAGGAACUUCAGUAAAACUUCACAAUACAAAGUGGUUGCUGUGAGAUAGUGUCAGAAGACUGUGGCUGAUAGCAGAGAGGGGGAAAAGGUGUGCUUGAUCUGAUCGACUAUGACUAUUCCUAUGUGGGUUUAUCUUUUGCUGAUAAGGUUGUUCUUUGACGCUGCUUCCGGCAGGCUUUCCAGACAUAGUAGGUAGGCUGGUGACCCGGUGAGGUGCUGAAGUGAAACUAACAACACUCAUUCUUCUCACUUGGAAACAGCGGAUGUCCACCAGGGACCUGGAUAUUAUAUCAACAGGAUAUCAUGGGAAAACAAAAGAAGGUCAUAACUAGCAAGUGGACAAAGUAUCUUUAUUAUUUCCAAUUAUGGAGCUCUUGUUCUGUUCCCCCUCCUGCAUCUUUGGCCUGCAGAACAACAGAUUUUCAGCUCCUCUUCACUGAUUAUAUUUGAGCUCUGUUUUUAUACAAAUGUUUUGUAACUUGAUCCUGUUGGCUAAAGACAACCAGCUGCAACAUUAAAGGAGUCAUUUUAAUUCUGAUUGCAUUGCAUCUUCCAUUUGGUAAGGAUUUAGUUCCUUUUAAAUAGCUCAUCUUAAAUCUUUUCAUGCUAGGGAAUAAGGGAAGUGAAUCUAACUCAUAACACAGUAUUUGUCUGGUUUUGUUUGCAAAACUAAAUAUUUGUUUUGAAUAGGUAACAGUAUUGUAAAGG